rnacentral:lncRNA from 1 species
GUCAAUCAAACCCAAGGCCUCACUUGCCCUAGAAUUGAGUUCUUCAAUAAUGAAGUGGGAGAAAGAGGAAGAAAUACAAUAGCCCCCAUGGCAAUCCAGGAACAUAGCCCCUGCAGAUAAGGGGGGACUGCUGUAUUCCGGAAAGGGGCUGCCAGAAUGUCAGAGCGGUAGGGAAAAAACAGACCAACCAUGUGCCGAAAAAAUCAGAAGAAAAGAAAAUGAAGAGGACAAAUGAAGCCUAGGGCUACAAGUAUUUGAAAAUGUAAAAAAUGUGGCAAGUACGGACUGUGGAGGAAUUCAAGUUUAUAUACAUGGUUGGGAGCAGGAAAUGUGGAGAAUAAAAAUUUCCUGUGCCUUCUGAAAUGCAUCCCCUUUGUCUAAGAUUUUCAAGACCUGGCUUCUGCCAUCACACUUGGCUUCGGGAGAAAAGCUUGGAAGACCAUGGCUUGAAAUAUCAGAACUAUUGAGAGGGUCUUGAUAUUUUCAGCUCAUUUUCUUUGGAUGACCACCCUCCCCUCUCACGAGGCCCUUGAGAAGCAAACAGGCACUCUUUCUUUCCAUGCUGAAAUGAAGAAAUGACUGAGUGAGUAUGUAAUGACUCGUGGAAGACCACACAGCAAGUUGGAAGAAGAUUCUGGAUUAGAAGCUUACAAUUUUCAUGUCACCCCCAGGAGUGCAAAACUGGUCCACAAGCAAAGUUUUUUUUAAGACAUAGAGGCCUCAAGAUGCAUGCUGAUCCACAG